GGCUUCGUAGAUUAGCUGGUAGAGUGCUUGCCGCGUUGAGGCAUGAUGUUUCUGCCGUUGGCUCGAAUCCAGCCGAAGCCC